rnacentral:lncRNA from 1 species
GCCAAAGUCUAUGGAUAGUCGUGAUCCCAAAACGUAACACGAGGAAGAGGAUUGAGGAACCUCUUAACAAUCAAGGCUACGGUUGAUUACUGCAUCUAAGAAGGUGAAUUCAAGAAGAACCAACCGGUUAUUCUCUUCCAGUCAUCGGUUGUCUACACGGCCCUCCUACCCAGACCUGGGAGCGUCGACACAGUUGAUUAGCCUCCUCAGACGUCCACUCUCACAGAACGAAUGCAAGGGAACAGACCACUAAGAGAAAAGGACACUGUCAUUGUGUGGACAAUCAGAGACCUACACCCUGUAAUGAAGGAGACGCAGCCAUAGAAGAAAAUUUGUCAACCGAACCUGUAACCUCUGCUUCCAACUCACACUCUCAAACAUGUAGAUCCCUUGAACGCAGGUCACUUUCCAGCUCACAUUCUCAAACACCUAGAUCCCCUGAACGCAGCUCACUCUCCAGAUCCCAAUCACCUGAAUUCUGAUCACAUGUUCACUCACCUUAGGCUGUUGGCACCUCCCUGGAAAAAACACGAGCCUCCCCUUGGAAAUCCAAUGGUCGUCCAACUGAUUCGCUCUGGCGCCAGGCCUGAAGAAAGGAAGUAUUUCCAAGUAAAGCCUAUCGGAUUUCCUGUUAUCUACCUAUUGCCUGAUCUCCCGGAUGACGUUACUAGCCUUUUCCCGGCCUGUACUGUUGCCUUUUUUGGACCCCUGUGUAUGACCUUCUGCCUUCCCCUGGACCCAGCUACCUGCCUCCUCCUGUGCUCCUUUACAAUAAACACCUGCUGCGCCCUGUGAUUGAAAUCAGCUCUCUGUCUUCCAUCGUGUUCAUUACAGGUGGUGACAGUGGUCUGACUGACAAUUUUAUCAGGAAGAGAACUUGCCAUGUCAAGCUCUUUCCAAAAGCCUAAUUUCUGACGAAGCAAGCUAAUAAUACAUUGUUUGUUUAGCUAGCUAGCUAGAU